CACAUCAUUAAAACAUUAUAAUCCUAGGUUUCCAUAGAAAUGUCAACACAAAUAGGGAACUUGCACAUUUUUUUUAUUACAUAAUAAUGUUCAGUUUUGUAUAAAAAUGAGAUUUCCAAAAUUUUACGCUUCUAAAACUCAUAAUAACUUAGAAGUACAAAUUUAAAGUCUACUGUAUUUUAAAAUAGUUCAAACGACCCGUGACGUCACACAGUUUAGGACCGCCUAAAAGGAGGACUUCGCAGAUCGUGCCGUGACGUCACACGUAAAUAAGGAGUGAUCUCAAACGGUCAAACGUCACCAAUUAUGUCAAAGUCAAAUGUUGCUUGCAAUGUUGGUGAUUUAAUUAAACUGAUUUUUGUGUUUAUUUUUAUUGCAACUUCUAAUAAAUUAUAAAAUAUCGAUUCACAUAAUAAUAAUCAAGAUGAUUUUAUUUUCAUUGUGGAAGAAGGAAAUAUAUUGCAAUCAUGUAGAUGGAAUCCCGCAUUCUUUAAGAAAAAAAAGCAAUUUCCAGAAGGAAACUACCAAUAAUAAAAUAAAGUAGAUAAUGCAAGAAAGAACAAAGCCAUUAUUUAACAUAGCUCAACAACUUCACAUAGAAAAAGAUGAGGAAAGGGCACAACAGAA